ACAGAUCCAUCGUUCUCCCUCUCUCCCAUCUUCCAAUCCCUAGCUCUGUAACUCUCAGCCGGCGCGCCUCCGUCAUUCCGCCGCCACCGGUAAAGGUCAUCGUUCCCCCUUCAUUAUCGAAACCCUCCACUCACGAUGUGUACGCACACUACCGUGGUGACGUCUCCAAGGCUCAUUGAUUGCUUCUUCGCUAAGCUCAGGGAGAAAGAGCCAGUCUCUUAAGUGCAAAACUGGAGAGGCAAUUACUUACUACAUUGGAAAUCAGACUUGUUUGAAAUGAAGAGACGAUUAAAUGAGGAAGAUAUGUACUACGCGCUGGUCUUUCAUUGUAGAAGAACAAUAGUGUUGACAACAUACUAGGCUAGCUAACAAGAUCAAUGCCACAUGAUAUAACAGUUAUUCCCGAGGAACGUGAAGCUAUAGAAAGGAAUAGGAGGGAAUCUAGCGCGUUAGCAUCAGAGUAGGGAGAACUGUGUUAUUGCUCCCAAAUGCCCUGUUACUGGAAAGAGAAUUCAAGAGAAAUACAUAAAGUGAAAUAGUCAAGGAUGUAGAGUGAAUAGCAAAAGGGGCUGCCCGGAUGGUUAUAUUUGCUAGCUGCUAAACCCUAAUGAUCUGAUUGAAUGACAAUCAUCCAAUUUGGCCUUAUCUGUUUUGUGAAGUUCAUUCGAAAACUCUUGAGGAAUGUUAACAGCGUGUGGAUUGCGGCCUAGCAAGGUGCAACUUCACUCACGAACAUAUCAUUUUGUAUGAAAACAGAGAAGCUGAACCAGGUCUGCUCCUUGGGGUCUAUGUAGCCAUUUUUAACACUAAUAUUAGUUAAGUUAGUGUUAGUUUGUGUUCUGUAUAAGGUAAAGGUCGAGUCUUGGUUAUAAGGCUCUACGUUUUCGAUGUAUGAAGAUAUUUGGUUGGUUGGUAAAGGUGAAAUCUUGCAGAAUUAAUGAUAGAUUUGGGAUA